rnacentral:rRNA from 1 species
AUUGAACGCUGGCGGCAGGCCUAACACAUGCAAGUCGAGCGGAUGAAGGGAGCUUGCUCCUCGAUUCCGCGGCGGACGGGUGAGUAAUGCCUAGGAAUCUACCUGGUCGUGGGGGAUAACGUCCGGAAACGGGCGCUAAUACAGCAUCCGUCCAGAGGGUGAACGUGGGGGAUCUUCGGCCAUCACGCUAUCUGAUGUGCCUAAGUCGGAUUAGCUAGUCGGUUGGGUAAAGGCCUACCAAGGCGACGAUCCGUAACUGGUCUGAGAGGAUGAUCAGUCACACUGGAACUGAGACACGGUCCAGACUCCUACGGGAGGCAGCAGUGGGGAAUAUUGGACAAUGGGCGAAAGCCUGAUCCAGCCAUGCCGCGUGUGUGAAGAAGGUCUUCGGAUUGUAAAGCACUUUAAGUUGGGAGGAAGGGCAGUAAAUUAAUACCUUGCUGUUUUGACGUUACCAACAGAAUAAGCACCGGCUAACUUCGUG